GUUCAGAAUUAAAGUUUCAAUCUAAGUAAGGUAUUGAAUAAACGCUAUGCAUAUUGCUCUUGUAUAUUUAGUGACGACCGUAUUAUGUUCUAUAUAUCAGCAAAUAUUAGCAGUCUCUUAAAAUUGGUUUCAUUUAUUCUUUUUCAAGUUAUUUUUCAUUUUGUGAUAUGUGUGCAUUACAGAGGGCUUUUAUCGAAGACACGAAAUAUAUCAAGCUAACCAGGAAGACUUCGUGUGCUAUUUUUAAAUUUCUAAUGCUUUUCAAAAAUUAUAAUUGCUUAAAGUAUGACACUUCAUACCAUCUUGAACGUUAAUACUUCAAAUAAUACCAUAUAUUGAAAUUGUUCAAGUAGUUGCAAACUUGAAACGACGAUCAUGUAUCAUAUAGAGCUCAAAUACCGGGCGCACAAAAUGUAAUUGACUAAUCGACAAC
rnacentral:lncRNA from 1 species